rnacentral:rRNA from 1 species
AAACAUCGCUCUUUGAAUUAUUUCUAUAAAGAGUCAGGCCUGCCCAGUGAAAUUUACUUUAACGGCCGCGGUACUCUGACCGUGCAAAGGUAGCAUAAUCAUUUGCCUUAUAAUUGAAGGCUAGUAUGAAUGGUUUAACGAGAGCAACACUGUCUCUUUCUUUAUUUUCAAGAACUUAACCUUUAGGUGAAGAGGCCUAAAUUUUAUUGAAGGACAAGAAGACCCUGUCGAGCUUAAAAGACAUCAUAGAAGUUUAUAUACUUUUAAAUAAAUUUUCUGUUAAGCUUUUUAGUUGGGGCGACUAAGGAACAAAAAAAGCUUCUUAAAUAAAGCAAACAUUCAAGUUUUGAUCCGGUAAAAGCCGAUUUAAGGAAUUAGUUACCGCAGGGAUAACAGCAUAAUCUCUCUUGAGAGAUCUAAUCGAAAGAGGGGGUUGUGACCUCGAUGUUGGACUAGAAUAUCCCAAGGAUGCAGAAGUCUUUAAAGGUUGGUCUGUUCGACCAUUAAAAUUCUACGUGAU